rnacentral:tRNA from 1 species
CUCGAAAUAGCUCAGUUGGAAGAGCGUUACACUAUAAAUCGAAAGGUCCCUGGUUCGAUCCCGGGAUUCGGCA